GGGGGAUAUUGCGCAAUGGGGGCAACCCUGACGCAGCAACGCCGCGUGAAGGAUGAAGGUUUUCGGAUUGUAAACUUCUUUUAUUAAGGACGAAAAAUGACGGUACUUAAUGAAUAAGCUCCGGCUAACUACGUGCCAGCAGCCGCGGUAAUACGUAGGGAGCAAGCGUUGUCCGGAUUUACUGGGUGUAAAGGGUGCGUAGGCGGCUUUGCAAGUCAGAUGUGAAAUCUAUGGGCUCAACCCAUAAACUGCAUUUGAAACUGUAGAGCUUGAGUGAAGUAGAGGCAGGCGGAAUUCCCCGUGUAGCGGUGAAAUGCGUAGAGAUGGGGAGGAACACCAGUGGCGAAGGCGGCCUGCUGGGCUUUAACUGACGCUGAGGCACGAAAGCGUGGGUAGCAAACAGGAUUAGAUACCCUGGUAGUCCACGCUGUAAACGAUGAUUACUAGGUGUGGGGGGUCUGACCCCUUCCGUGCCGGAGUUAACACAAUAAGUAAUCCACCUGGGGAGUACGGCCGCAAGGUUGAAACUCAAAGGAAUUGACGGGGGCCCGCACAAGCAGUGGAGUAUGUGGUUUAAUUCGAAGCAACGCGAAGAACCUUACCAGGUCUUGACAUCCAACUAACGAAGUAGAGAUACAUUAGGUGCCCUUCGGGGAAAGUUGAGACAGGUGGUGCAUGGUUGUCGUCAGCUCGUGUCGUGAGAUGUUGGGUUAAGUCCCGCAACGAGCGCAACCCUUGCUAUUAGUUGCUACGCAAGAGCACUCUAAUAGGACUGCCGUUGACAAAACGGAGGAAGGUGGAGACGACGUCAAAUCAUCAUGCCCCUUAUGACCUGGGCUACACACGUACUACAAUGGAUGUUAACAGAGGGAAGCAAGACAGCGAUGUGGAGCAAACCCCUAAAAACAUUCUCAGUUCAGAUUGCAGGCUGCAACCCGCCUGCAUGAAGAUGGAAUUGCUAGUAAUCGCGGAUCAGCAUGCCGCGGUGAAUACGUUCCCG
rnacentral:rRNA from 1 species